GUUAUAUUUUACUCAAAAAUAAAAUAAAAUAAAAUAGGCGACUGGGAGAAAUCAAGGGAAGGGCAAACAGAGACAGUGCUUAUUAAUGAUCUGCGCUUGUAUUGGAAUUGGAAGAAUCAGCAAUCACGCCUUGGAUCCCGUGCCUUGUCUCCAUUUCUCUCACUUUCUCCCCUCUUCUCUUCUUCGUGUAGGCCUCGAAGAACUCCUUGUUUUCUUUCUCCAGCUCGUUCCACACUGUUGAAGUGAUGACAGGUUUGAUGUUGGCGUGCUUGGAAAGAGCUUCCAUGCACUCUUCUUUGCUCAUAUUGAAUACUAUGCACUCUUCUAUCAGAUGGUGCACCAUGUGAAUAUACGAGGCAGAAGAGUCGCCCAUAGUCCUGCCUUAUACAGUAUCAAAACCGAUCAACAACAGCUAAACUACUUCUAAU
rnacentral:misc_RNA from 1 species